AUUGAACGCUGGUGGCAGGCCUAACACAUGCAAGUCGAACGGUAACAGGAAGAAGCUUGCUUCUUUGCUGACGAGUGGCGGACGGGUGAGUAAUGUCUGGGAAACUGCCUGAUGGAGGGGGAUAACUACUGGAAACGGUAGCUAAUACCGCAUAACGUCGCAAGACCAAAGAGGGGGACCUUCGGGCCUCUUGCCAUCGGAUGUGCCCAGAUGGGAUUAGCUAGUAGGUGGGGUAACGGCUCACCUAGGCGACGAUCCCUAGCUGGUCUGAGAGGAUGACCAGCCACACUGGAACUGAGACACGGUCCAGACUCCUACGGGAGGCAGCAGUGGGGAAUAUUGCACAAUGGGCGCAAGCCUGAUGCAGCCAUGCCGCGUGUAUGAAGAAGGCCUUCGGGUUGUAAAGUACUUUCAGCGGGGAGGAAGGGAGUAAAGUUAAUACCUUUGCUCAUUGACGUUACCCGCAGAAGAAGCACCGGCUAACUCCGUGCCAGCAGCCGCGGUAAUACGGGGGGUGCAAGCGUUAAUCGGAAUUACUGGGCGUAAAGCGCACGCAGGCGGUUUGUUAAGUCAGAUGUGAAAUCCCCGGGCUCAACCUGGGAACUGCAUCUGAUACUGGCAAGCUUGAGUCUCGUAGAGGGGGGUAGAAUUCCAGGUGUAGCGGUGAAAUGCGUAGAGAUCUGGAGGAAUACCGGUGGCGAAGGCGGCCCCCUGGACGAAGACUGACGCUCAGGUGCGAAAGCGUGGGGAGCAAACAGGAUUAGAUACCCUGGUAGUCCACGCCGUAAACGAUGUCGACUUGGAGGUUGUGCCCUUGAGGCGUGGCUUCCGGAGCUAACGCGUUAAGUCGACCGCCUGGGGAGUACGGCCGCAAGGUUAAAACUCAAAUGAAUUGACGGGGGCCCGCACAAGCGGUGGAGCAUGUGGUUUAAUUCGAUGCAACGCGAAGAACCUUACCUGGUCUUGACAUCCACGGAAGUCUUCAGAGAUGAGAAUGUGCCUUCGGGAACCGUGAGACAGGUGCUGCAUGGCUGUCGUCAGCUCGUGUUGUGAAAUGUUGGGUUAAGUCCCGCAACGAGCGCAACCCUUAUCCUUUGUUGCCAGCGGUCCGGCCGGGAACUCAAAGGAGACUGCCAGUGAUAAACUGGAGGAAGGUGGGGAUGACGUCAAGUCAUCAUGGCCCUUACGACCAGGGCUACACACGUGCUACAAUGGCGCAUACAAAGAGAAGCGACCUCGCGAGAGCAAGCGGACCUCAUAAAGUGCGUCGUAGUCCGGAUUGGAGUCUGCAACUCGACUCCAUGAAGUCGGAAUCGCUAGUAAUCGUGGAUCAGAAUGCCACGGUGAAUACGUUCCCGGGCCU
rnacentral:rRNA from 1 species